CUCGGGUGGCCACCAGUCGAGCGUCGCACAGAUGAAGUUCUCGCUGAUUCGAGCCACUGGAGAGGUGGUGUUGAUCUGGAGAACAACUCGUUGCAUCUCGAGCGAAUGCACUCCCUGCACUAUAGGUGAUGCAACUGGAGAGGAAGAAGGACAGAGGAGGUUGAAUUCAUCGCUCGAAGAAGAGAGAAAACACCGAUAUUGGCCCCUUUCGAGUGGCUCCUUGGAAAAAUGGAUACUAUAUGGCGGAUUUUCAUGUGACAAGCAAAUGCAGGCAAACAAUGAAGAUGAAGAGCCUGAUGGCAUGACCCACCUUUCUCAUGUACAUGACUAUACAACAAAGUGUUAAAGAGAAUUUUUUGAGAAGCAGAGGUACCUUUGGUUUCGUUGUCAAGAUAAGUCUUUCCUUCGUCAUUUCUCCUUGUGUUCCUUCAAAGUAACUCUCAUUCUUCCUGUAGGCGUUGCUGGUGAGCAAUCGUCAUCGUCAUCUACAGUCUUGGCCUUUGCGUCAGGGUCGGCUUGGACGAUUACUUCCUUGGCCCGCGGACCAGCUCAAUCAGUUGGCGCACCUCAUGACUUCCAAGCGACUUGUCGGAUUGCUGCUGCGGAACUGAUUCCUUCCUUCGCAAGAGUUAGCGCGCACGACUUUUCAAGCAUAAGAAAGGAAUCGCAGGAGGAAACGCAAAAGCAAGAGAGAUGGGCGAUUUAAGUUAAGCGGUUCUUUUGGAAGUAGCCAUGUUAUGUCACAUUUGCCAUGGUCCAGCUUGCAAAAUUCUGGUAAUUUUUCUAUCAUCUUCGCCGCUA